UAGGGAAUCUUCGGCAAUGGACGAAAGUCUGACCGAGCAACGCCGCGUGAGUGAAGAAGGUUUUCGGAUCGUAAAACUCUGUUGUUAGAGAAGAACAAGGACGUUAGUAACUGAACGUCCCCUGACGGUAUCUAACCAGAAAGCCACGGCUAACUACGUGCCAGCAGCCGCGGUAAUACGUAGGUGGCAAGCGUUGUCCGGAUUUAUUGGGCGUAAAGCGAGCGCAGGCGGUUUCUUAAGUCUGAUGUGAAAGCCCCCGGCUCAACCGGGGAGGGUCAUUGGAAACUGGGAAACUUGAGUGCAGAAGAGGAGAGUGGAAUUCCAUGUGUAGCGGUGAAAUGCGUAGAUAUAUGGAGGAACACCAGUGGCGAAGGCAGCUCUCUGGUCUGUAACUGACGCUGAGGCUCGAAAGCGUGGGGAGCAAACAGG
rnacentral:rRNA from 1 species